rnacentral:rRNA from 1 species
UACGAAGGGGCUAGCGUUGCUCGGAAUUACUGGGCGUAAAGGGAGCGUAGGCGGACAUUUAAGUCAGGGGUGAAAUCCCGGGGCUCAACCUCGGAAUUGCCUUUGAUACUGGGUGUCUUGAGUAUGAGAGAGGUGUGUGGAACUCCGAGUGUAGAGGUGAAAUUCGUAGAUAUUCGGAAGAACACCAGUGGCGAAGGCGACGCACUGGCUCAUUACUGACGCUGAGGCUCGAAAGCGUGGGGAGCAAACAGGAUUAGAUACCCCGGUAGUCCCU